AGAGUUUGAUCAUGGCUCAGGAUGAACGCUAGCUACAGGCUUAACACAUGCAAGUCGAGGGGAAACGAUAUUGGAAGCUUGCUUCCGAUAGGCGUCGACCGGCGUACGGGUGAGUAACGCGUAUCCAACCUGCCCACCACUUGGGGAUAACCUUGCGAAAGUAAGACUAAUACCCAAUGACGUCUCUAGAAGACAUCUGAAAGAGAUUAAAGAUUUAUCGGUGAUAGAUGGGGAUGCGUCUGAUUAGCUUGUUGGCGGGGUAACGGCCCACCAAGGCGACGAUCAGUAGGGGUUCUGAGAGGAAGGCCCCCACAUUGGAACUGAGACACGGUCCAAACUCCUACGGGCGGCAGCA
rnacentral:rRNA from 1 species